rnacentral:rRNA from 1 species
GUCUUUAUUGAUUAUAAUAUAAGGUCUGGCCUGCCCACUGAAUAUUAAAUGGCCGUGGUAUUUUGACCGUGCUAAGGUAGCAUAAUCAUUAGUUUUUUAAUUAAAAACUGGAAUGAAAGGUUUGAUAAGAAAAUAACUGUCUCUAUUUAAUUUUAUUAGAAUUUUAUUUUUAAGUUAAAAAGCUUAAUUGUUUUUAAAAGACGAGAAGACCCUAUAGAGUUUUACUAAAUAUUGAAUUUUAUAUUUUAGAAUUAAGUUAUAAAAUUUUGUAUUUAGUUUAAUUGGGGUGAUUGAAAAAUUAAAUUAACUUUUUUUGAAUAUUUACAUAAAUUUAUGAAUGAUUGAUCCAAUAUUUUUGAUUAUAAGAUAUAAUUACCUUAGGGAUAACAGCGUAAUUUUUUUUUAGAGUUCUAAUUGAAAAAAAAGAUUGCGACCUCGAUGUUGGAUUAAAAUUAAUAUUUGGUGAAGAGGCUAAAAUAUUAGGUCUGUUCGACCUUUAAAAUUUUACA